rnacentral:lncRNA from 1 species
AGUUCAUGCAGCUGAAUGUUAUUCCUGCCCAAUACACCAACUGGUCAAACUACAGUGAGAAAAAACCCUUCCAAUGGACCCUGACUCCUAUUCCUACUCCCCCACCAUCUAGGACACCUGGACUGAGAACACCCCAGAGGUCACAGCUAAUAUGGAACCAGCAGCUUAUGCCUGAGAGGUGUCUGAUUCUGGUCAGGGAUGAGUCUGGCAUGUACUCCCUGCCCAUAGCAAGGUUCACCUCAUGCCUAAGCAACCAGGAUGCUCCCGCGGUCAGACUCGGUGGUCCCUCUCUCCAGGAUAGCAGAGGAGGAACACUCUUUGCAUGCAAUAGACCAGCCUAAGGAUCUCAAAGGGACGAAGGGGAGCUUUCCUCCCCGAGUGUCGAGCUGACCAGGAGUCUUCACCGACUGGACACUCUGCUCAAGCCUGCG